CAACUAUUAAACCAGGUCAAUAGAACAAACAUCUUUAAAUACGUUUCUCUGCCCUUUAGGAGUCAAAAUUACUAGUCUGCCUCUUUCAACUGAAACAAAAGGACAGAUUGUAAGAGCCAAGCCAUAGUGACUGCAGGCUGAGUUUGUACAGCUGGCAACUAAGGAGAAAAAAAGGUUUUACUUGUACAAUGAGCAAACUCCAUGAAAAUCACUGACCAAAUGCCAGAAAAUGAACAUAAGUGGCAACAGACUCCAUACCUUGCUCCAAGAAGACCUGCCAAGAACACCAGGGAGUCUCUCUCUGCACCAGUAAACUGGCUGAAAGACAGUACACAGUCUUCUAGAGGAGUGCUUCCUUCCAUUACUGA